rnacentral:rRNA from 1 species
UACGGGGGGGGCAAGCGUUGUUCGGAAUUACUGGGCGUAAAGGGCUCGUAGGCGGCCAACUAAGUCAGACGUUGAAAUCCCUCGGCUUAACCGGGGAACUGCGUCUGAUACUGGAUGGCUUGAGUUCGGGAGAGGGAUGCGGAAUUCCAGGUGUAGCGGUGAAAUGCGUAGAUAUCAGGAGGAACACCUGUGGCGAAAGCGGCUCACUGGACCAUAACUGACGCUGAUGCACGAAAGCUAGGGGAGCAAACAGG